rnacentral:rRNA from 1 species
AGGACGAACGCUGGCGGCGUGCUUAACACAUGCAAGUCGAGCGGUAAGGCCCUUUCGGGGGUACACGAGCGGCGAACGGGUGAGUAACACGUGAGCAAUCUGCCCUUCACUUCGGGAUAAGCCUCGGAAACGGGGUCUAAUACCGGAUAUGACCGCGCUACGCAUGUGGUGUGGUGGAAAGUUCUGGCGGUGGAGGAUGAGCUCGCGGCCUAUCAGCUUGUUGGUGGGGUAACGCCUACCAAGGCUUCGGACGGGUAGCCGGCCUGGAGAGGGUCGACCGGCCAGACUGGGACUGAGACACGGCCCAGACUCCGUACGGGAGGCAGCAGUGGGGAAUAGUUGGACAAGUGGGACGAAGCCUGAUCCAGCAACGGCGCGUGGAGGAUGACGGCGUUCGGGUU